UACGGAGGAUGCAAGCGUUAUCCGGAAUUAUUGGGCGUAAAGCGUCCGCAGGUGGCACUUCAAGUCUGCUGUCAAAGACCGGGGCUUAACCCUGGAAAGGCAGUGGAAACUGAAGCGCUAGAGUGUGGCAGGGGUAGAGGGAAUUCUCGGUGUAGCGGUGAAAUGCGUAGAUAUCGAGAGGAACACCUGCGGCGAAGGCGGGUAGCUGGGCCGACACUGACGCUGAGGCGCGAAAGCCAGGGGAGCGAACGGG
rnacentral:rRNA from 1 species